GAGUCUCAGAUGGAGGGAUUGAGCAGAAUACAUGGGGAAUUUGCUUUCAGAACUGAAGCUCAGCAGGACUUGGUUCUCUCCAUGAGUGACAGAAUCCUUCACAGUGAGCUCCCAGCAUAUUGAAAACUUUCAAAGGAUGAAAUGGAUUGGUUUGGCAGAUCUGAAGAGCCUGAAUUAAUCCCCUGGUUAGAGCAUUUGAGCACUGCUGAUGUGGAACAGCACAGCCAGCAAUGUAAAGACUUGCCAGAUUCAGAAGGUCUGUGGGAUAUUUUCUCGACAGACGACCCUCGGCUCUCCCGCAGCAGUUUGGCCGUGCUGGGCUGUUUCCCGUGCCUGGAUCUCUUUUCUCUGGUCACGUGGAGUCUGUUGAACUCAUCAAUAAAUUCCUCACAAUGCAGUAGAUGAUGUUCAGGUUCCCAGGUGUCUUCAUUGCUUCCAUAACCUUUCCACCUGAUGAGAUAUUCCCAUUUGCCCUUCUUGUUCUUCCUUUUGUCUACAAUCCUCUCGACCUAAAGGAAAAAACCAAAAAUAUAUUAAAAAGAAUUCCCUUGAGUAGAGCUGACAGUACAGGAGAGGAAUCAGAGCCCCAGUGGUAUUUGGACAGCAAAGCCACUGCCCCUUCUGAAAACAUCAGGAGAGACAUAAACA